rnacentral:rRNA from 1 species
UACGUAGGGUGCGAGCGUUUGUCCGGAAUUAUUGGGCGUAAAGAGCUCGUAGGCGGCUUGUCGCGUCGGAUGUGAAAGCCCGGGGCUUAACUCCGGGUCUGCAUUCGAUACGGGCAGGCUAGAGUUCGGUAGGGGGAGAUCGGAAUUCCUGGUGUAGCGGUGAAAUGCGCAGAUAUCAGGAGGAACACCGGUGCGGAAGGCGGGUCUCUGGGCCGAUACUGACGCUGAGGAGCGAAAAGCGUAGGGGGAGCA